GGCAAGAUGGCCGAGUUGGUUAUGGCGUGAGGUUAAGGUCACCUUAAUUCCUAAUUCCUCAUGGAGCAAUCCGCGUGGGUUCAAGUCCCACUCUUGUCA
rnacentral:tRNA from 1 species